GCAACUGAGUGAGUGUUCUGGAGUGUAGGCUGCGCUCACCUCCGGUACGCGCCUACGCGGCCGCAGCUCCUCGUGUAGGCGCCACCAAAACCUGCCCGCCACGGUAAGGUCACCGAACGCCGCCGCUUCGAGUCCGCCCGGCGAUGCCCCUCCUUGAGGUGGCCUGCUUUAGCUCCGCAGUACCCGCCCGCUAAACCCGGCCGUCGCGGCAAGGGCACGGACCGCGGCCGCCUCGGCUCCGCCGGGCGACGCCUCUCAUCGAGGUGGCUCGAUAGAGUGCUGCCUCCGGUACGCACCCGAGCUGCUCCGCACUACGUGCCCGCUAAAACCCGCCCGCCGCGUCAGGGGCACGGACCGCGGUUACCUCCGCUCCGCCCAACGAUGCUUCUCCUCGAGGUGGCCCCACAGCGCGCUGCCUCCGCCCGGCCGCGCCGCCUCCGCCCCCGAGCGGUGUCUACGAAGGUGGAGCGACGGCAGCAGCAGGACGAAGGACCCAGAGGAGGCUCGAACGGUAGUAGCGGGUUCCACUCGCCACGAAAUGUAUGGUGGGAACACAUCUAUCUUCUUGAAGAGGUGGCUGCUGCUGAGUUAAAGACGGAGCAAUUAGAGACCGUUUAGUGACUGCCUAUCUUCGUCGCCAGCACCUCAACUCAGGUCAGUCAUCGUGAUCGCGAUCAAGGAAGGUACUAGGACAUCCGGCGCUCCACACAGACCACUUCGACCUUAACGUCUUCGAAAAGUGUACUCAAUCGGACUUACACAAUCAAGCAGUACAAACAAGAUUUCGUCGGCGACAACAUCAAGUCUAUAUAUGUUAGAAACAAGUCAACAUCGACUUCUUCUUCUCUCCCAAUCAUUAAGCCUCAUCAUGAGUCAUGAAAUAUCUUGAAACAACACUUCCUUUACUUAGUUGUUAUAGACGCACAACGAGGUCAAGUUGAGCAGGUGUUGUGAAAAUGAUAUCAAGCAAUAGUUUACUUGGGAUUGAUCAUCAUCAUGUUAUGUCUCAACCCAGAGACUCUUAGACUAACAAUCCAACAGUACACUCGAAUGCCCCGACCUCUAAACCACCAACAGUACAACAGGUUGCUACGAUCAUACUAAGUCUAUGAGCGCGGGCAUCGAGUUUACAGUGAGUUAAAACGGUACAGUGAACGUGUAAAAACAUGUGUCAAAACAAACUUAAAAAUCAAGUUAGAAGAGUUACAACGGUACGUUACAGGGUUGCUACUGUUGGCUAUUAACGAUACUCAUCAACGGUACCGUCGUAAGACGUCAUUAACACUACCGUUCAAAGACAUUAUCAGCGGUACCCGUCUUAAAGAUGCUCACCAACGGUACCGUUUUAAAAGACAUCAUCAACGGUACCCGUCAUAGGUAUGUUCAUCAACAAUACCGUUUAAACAAACCCUGUUACCGUUUGAAAAAAUAGUACCGUUUUUACCAAUCACUUAAACGGUACCGUUUAAGUGAACUACAGGGUGCCGUUUAAGUGAAAUAACAGACACUGUUCAAAGAAAAAAAUUCUAGUACAAUUUGAAGAAAAUGUUUGGUACUGUAAAAAGACUGUUUGGUACCGUUUAGAUAAAUUAACCUUAUCUAAAAGGUAUGAUGUACCGUGAAAAAAGGGGCCUUGUACCGUUAAGGAAAAAUACUUCGUACCGUUUAAAUCAAUUUACCUAAAAAAAGAUAACUCAUGUUUUAACAGUAUCGUGUACGUUAACUAAACGGCAUGAUGUACCGUUAAAGGGGGGAGGUGGAAGCGUUCAAAUAAAAUGCUUGGUACCUUUUUUAAUCUAUUGACUUUAUCUAAAACGGUAUGAUGUACCGUUUUUUUUUUGGACUGGUACCGUUAAUAUAAAAUACUUCAUACCGUUUAAGUCAUUUUAACUUAUCUAAACUGUAUAAUGUACCGUAAAAAAGGGGUAGGUGGUACCGUUCAAAUAAAGAUUCUUGGUACCGUUUAAAUCAAUAAACUUUGUCUAAACGGUAUGCUGUACCGUAAAAAAAGGGAUCGGUACCGUUAAGAUAAAAAAUAUGCUUCGUGCGGUUUAAAUCAUUUUACCUCAUCUAAACAGUAUGAACUACCGUAAAAAGGGGUUUAGUACCGUUAAUAAAAACAAUUUUUGGUACCCUUUAAAUAAAUUUACCUAGUACCGUUAAAAAAGACGGCAACAACGAUACCCGUCUUAGGGAUGUAUAUCAACAGUACCGUUUAUGGCGAUUUUUUUCAACGGUACCGUUUAAACAAACACUGUUACCGUUUGAAAAAAAUGGUGCCGUUUUUACAAAUCACUUAAAACGGCACCGUUUAAGUAAACUACAGGGUGCCAUUUAAGUGAAAGAACGGGUACCGCUCAAAGAAAAAAAUUCUCUUACAGUUUGAAAAAAAUCUAAACGGUGUGAUGUACUGUGAAAAAGGGGACCUUGUACCGUUAAGAUAAAAAACGCUUCGUACGGUUUAAAUCAAUUUACGUAACAAAAACCACUCAUGUUUUAACAGUAUCGUAUACGUUAACUAAACGGUAUGAUGUACCGUUAACAAAGGGGACUGGUACCGUUAAGAUAAAAUACUUCAUUCCGUUUAAAUCAUUUUACCUUAUCUAAACGGUAUGAUGUACCGUGAAAAACUAUACUUAGACGGUAUCGUUAAAAGAACAAGUAUUUUUUGUACUGUUAAAAUUAUUUUUGUGGUACCGUUAAAAAGUACACUUAGACGGCAGCGUUAAAAAGAAGUAUAAAUUAAAAGUUGAAAAAAAGUGUGUGGCCUUUAAGGAGCAUGUUUUUGUACCGUUAAAAUUAAUUUUGUGGUAAGGUUUAAAAGUAUACUUAGACGGGGCCGUUAAGAUAACAAAUAUGAAUUAAAUUGGAGAAACAUAAAAAACGUGUGUGCCGUUUAAGGACUAUGUUUAUUGUGCCAUUAAAAUUGAUUUUGUGGUACCGUUUAAAAGUGGACUUAGAUGGUACCGUUAAAACGAGCAUUAAAAAACACAAUGAAAAUGUAUGUACCUUUUAAAGAGUAUUAUUUUGUACUGUUGACAUUUAACAUUAAUUUUAUAUUACUACAAAAAAAUAAACUUGGUACCGUUAAAGUAAAGUAUCAUAACACAAGAGAAUGUAGCGCCGUUUAAAGUAUAUGUUUGUACCCCUAAAAUUAGUUUUAUAGUACAGUAAAAAAGAUUAUGCUUAGACUACGAAAAAAAACAAGCAUUUAAAACACGAUGAAACGUAUGUUGCCUUUAAGGAGUAUUUUGUACCAAAAAAAUUAAGUUUAUACUGUUGUAAAAAAAUAUACUGGUACCGUUCAAAUAAAAAUAUCAAAACAGAAAAGACAUGGAUCUGCCGUUUAAAAGCGUAUGCUUGUACCUCUAAAAUUAACUUUAUAGUACAGUUCAAAGAUUAUAUUUAGACGGUAUAGUUAAAAACUGAAGUGAAAAAAAAUCACAAAGAGACACAUAAAAUUGGUUGUGAAAAGUAAAAAACAUAAAUAAAGAGUUCCUUUACAGCAACAACCCGAAUACUCACGAGCACCGGGUGAUCUCCCCCAGGUUGCAUCCUCCACAAACGCGACCUUUUGCAAGGGAGUUACCACGACAAAGCAAGCCAGCCCCACAGGACCACGGUGUGCACACCGUCAAACUUACACGCGGGUGUGUUUUAACACACCCGUCGGAGGACGAAUGUGGUGUGCACCACACACCCGCCCACAACGAGGGUGGUGUGCACACCCGCAAUAGCCGCAUAUAUAUAUUUCUGUGGUUCUCCCCCUUUGCCUCCUCUUCGUGGGCACCACGUCGCAGUUCCUCUAGGCCGUCUGCGCGUGGUGCAGCUUCCACCUCGACCGAUGCAAGCUUCGAUACACUACCCGGCUGCCGACGCUGCCCCCGCGGCGUUCCGCGCGGGACGCACAAGCGACGGUGCACGGCUAGCGUCACCGCGGUCCGCCUUCGAAGCGCUGUCAUCUCUUCUUCUUGCACAGGCGCCCCUGCCGCCGUCACCCUCGUGCAACGGCUACCGCUCGUCUGCGAGCCGCUCUACUUCUUGUCCGUCGUUGCGUACGGAACGACUGAGUGAUGAAACUAUAUAUACACACACACAAAAGCAGUCAGUCCAAAGUGCGCUCUCCGUGCGCCGUGCCGAGCGCGUGAUCCUCCCUGGUCGGUGGCGUUGCUUCCCUCUGGGUUCUCUACGCGCGGGCACCUCCACCGCAAGUCUUCUAGCCCUACCUAUACGGUGGGUCGUUCUCUACUGCAGACGUCGACGCCGUCGCCACGCCGGCUAGUCUACUACGGGUGUAUACAAACAAACAAAGAAAGAGAGUUACAAAAUAGUCCAAAGCACCCUCCGCGAGCGUGGGAGCUGCUCUGCGUGUACACCACCGUCGUAGCCCUCUCUGGCGUCUUUCUCUUCCUCUCUCUUGAGUGGUGUAGCGUCGAUCGGCCGCCUUCUCGUGCAGCGUCGUUGGGUGGCUACGUCGGUUGCGUAGUUCUGCGUGCGUCACAGCACAGAGUAACUCCGUUCUCUACACGGGACCGCCGUCACAGCUCCAUAGCUCCUCUUUCCUGCGCGGGCACCGCCACCGUGCACGCGGCUCGUAGCCACACCGUCGGCGCUACGUGUCUACUCCUACAUGAGGUUCGCCCAUUGGCUCGUAGGUCCUCCCGCGUAUGUGGUACACGUUGCUACGAUGUUAUUAGGAAUAAAAAGACACAAUAGUAGAUAAAACGUCUUACUGGAAACGUGCUGCGCGGAUAGUCUCCACCGGCUCCUGCUACGUUGCGAGAAGAGUCUUCGUCAACUCCUCCGCUUACUACGCAGGUUGGUUCAACCGGCGCUUCCUUCUACGCGAGAAGAACAUGUACACAACAGCUCCGCCGCCUGCUGCGCGGGUCGCCUCCACCGGCGCCUACUUCUCCGCGAGAAGAGCAUGGUCCACAACAGCUCCGCCGCCUACUGCGCGGGUUGCCUCCACCGGCGUCUGUUUCGCCGCGCGAAAGAGCAUGGUCCACGUUACUUCUGCCGCCGCGGGAGCGUGUGUACCUACGUACAAUCUUGUUCCUCCAGUAGCGGGUGAAGAAGUUGGGGCUACUGUUCCUCUGUUCCUCGAACGGUGUCGGUGACGGUAGUUCGGCCACGGCGUCUUCUACCACAGCACCUGGAACUCCCUACAACAGCCGUAGGUGAAGCAGUUCUACCACGGAGCUACCUACCGCUGUGCCUCGAGCGAGCCUACUACGAGGCAGCAGAAGAAGUGGUUCUGCCACGGUAUCUCCUACCUCCGUACCUCGGGCUUCUACGGCGGUAGCACGGUACCUACUACCUCCGCGCCUCGAGCGGUUCUACUGCGGGUAAUAGUUGUAGUAGUUCGGCCACGACACCACCUGCCUCCGCACCUCGAGUGCCCUGCUGUGGUGGCUACAGAAGGAGUAGUUCUGCUCCGGGUGUUUGGCCUCAGGUACUUCUACUGUGUGCGGGGGCCACAACAGACGUUGUGCGUCGGGCGCUAUGCUUCUUCUACCACGAUACGCUACUGUGCAAAAGUGACUGGGAAUGGUGCUAGGGCACUACACAAAGGAAACAGAACCGCCUGGUGGCUUAUGCCGCAGGUUGGCUCUGCUCCCCGUGAGAAGGACCGCAUGUCCAGAGCCGUAUGUCCGUAGUACGAGGAACAGAAUCGUUUGGUAGCUUAUACCGCAGAUCGAUCCUGCUCCGUAAUUGGUACGGGAAGGUACUACAGUGGAAAGAAGCCGUGGCACUACGAAACGGGAACAGAACCACCUGGUGGCUUAUGCCACAGGUCGGCUCUGUUCCACGUGAGAAGUACCGUAUUUCCAAAGUGGCAUGUCCGCCACACGAGGAACAGAUCGUCUGGUGGCUUAUGCCGUAGAUCGACUCUGCUCCGUAGUUGUGCGGGGAGAUUCUGCAUUGGAGAGUGCCGGAACACUCCGCCUCAGAAACAGAGGCGUCUAACGGCAUUGGAGCCGGGGAUCAGCUCUGCUCUGCGGUUGGUGUGACCGGUACGGCUACGCACACACGCAACCAAAAUGUGAUUGCUGUCAGAGGUGUUUUCUUAUGAGAGCGCUCCGUUGGGGAAUACAUGGGGCUGCUUCGGCGAUGUAGCAGUUCUUCAGGCUCGGUUCGCCCUAAGUACGAUGGGGUUGUGGCUGAUGUGGUUGCGACAGUUGUGGCUGCUCCGCGCUGUCACUCCCGCCUGCACCGAUCGUGUUUCGGUACAAAACUCGCCGUGCACAUGGUUGCUCCUGUGCCCGAAACGGCGACGGGCGUGGAUGUGUGUGGUAGUAGUAUACGUACCUCUUGCACUUCGCUUCCGCUGCUUCUGCUGGUGUGUCGAAUUAGCCUCCAUAGAGCGCCUCGUUGGGCACCCUCAUUAAUUGGCCCUCGGAAGGUUCAGGUGCCCUUGGUCCUCUGGCGUGUUGCGAUCAGUGCGUCCGGCCGGCGCGAUCAUCCGGU
rnacentral:rRNA from 1 species